rnacentral:rRNA from 1 species
AAUAGAUACCCGGGUAGUCCACGCCGUAAACGAUGAGUGCUAGGUGUUGGGGGGUACCACCCUCAGUGCCGAAGCUAACGCAUUAAGCACUCCGCCUGGGGAGUACGGUCGCAAGACUGAAACUCAAAGGAAUUGACGGGGGCCCGCACAAGCAGUGGAGCAUGUGGUUUAAUUCGAAGCAACGCGAAGAACCUUACCAGGACUUGACAUCCCGCUGACCGGUCUAGAGAUAGGCCUUCCCUUCGGGGCAGUGGUGACAGGUGGUGCAUGGUUGUCGUCAGCUCGUGUCGUGAGAUGUUGGGUUAAGUCCCGCAACGAGCGCAACCCUUACGUUGUGUUGCCAUCAUUCAGUUGAGCACUUACAACGGACUGCCGGUGACAAACCGGAGGAAGGUGGGGAUGACGUCAAAUCAUCAUGCCCCUUAUGUCCUGGGCUACACACGUGCUACAAUGGACGGUACAAAGAGAGGCAAGACCGCGAGGUGGAGCAAAUCUCAUAAAGCCGUUCGUAGUUCGGAUUGCAGGCUGCAAC